rnacentral:rRNA from 1 species
AGAGUUUGAUCCUGGCUCAGGAUGAACGCUGGCGGCGUGCCUAAUACAUGCAAGUCGAGCGAACGGACGAGAAGCUUGCUUCUCUGAUGUUAGCGGCGGACGGGUGAGUAACACGUGGAUAACCUACCUAUAAGACUGGGAUAACUUCGGGAAACCGGAGCUAAUACCGGAUAAUAUUUUGAACCGCAUGGUUCAAAAGUGAAAGACGGUCUUACUGUCACUUAUAGAUGGAUCCGCGCUGCAUUAGCUAGUUGGUAAGGUAACGGCUUACCAAGGCAACGAUGCAUAGCCGACCUGAGAGGGUGAUCGGCCACACUGGAACUGAGACACGGUCCAGACUCCUACGGGAGGCAGCAGUAGGGAAUCUUCCGCAAUGGGCGAAAGCCUGACGGAGCAACGCCGCGUGAGUGAUGAAGGUCUUCGGAUCGUAAAACUCUGUUAUUAGGGAAGAACAUAUGUGUAAGUAACUGUGCACAUCUUGACGGUACCUAAUCAGAAAGCCACGGCUAACUACGUGCCAGCAGCCGCGGUAAUACGUAGGUGGCAAGCGUUAUCCGGAAUUAUUGGGCGUAAAGCGCGCGUAGGCGGUUUUUUAAGUCUGAUGUGAAAGCCCACGGCUCAACCGUGGAGGGUCAUUGGAAACUGGAAAACUUGAGUGCAGAAGAGGAAAGUGGAAUUCCAUGUGUAGCGGUGAAAUGCGCAGAGAUAUGGAGGAACACCAGUGGCGAAGGCGACUUUCUGGUCUGUAACUGACGCUGAUGUGCGAAAGCGUGGGGAUCAAACAGGAUUAGAUACCCUGGUAGUCCACGCCGUAAACGAUGAGUGCUAAGUGUUAGGGGGUUUCCGCCCCUUAGUGCUGCAGCUAACGCAUUAAGCACUCCGCCUGGGGAGUACGACCGCAAGGUUGAAACUCAAAGGAAUUGACGGGGACCCGCACAAGCGGUGGAGCAUGUGGUUUAAUUCGAAGCAACGCGAAGAACCUUACCAAAUCUUGACAUCCUUUGACAACUCUAGAGAUAGAGCUUUCCCCUUCGGGGGACAAAGUGACAGGUGGUGCAUGGUUGUCGUCAGCUCGUGUCGUGAGAUGUUGGGUUAAGUCCCGCAACGAGCGCAACCCUUAAGCUUAGUUGCCAUCAUUAAGUUGGGCACUCUAAGUUGACUGCCGGUGACAAACCGGAGGAAGGUGGGGAUGACGUCAAAUCAUCAUGCCCCUUAUGAUUUGGGCUACACACGUGCUACAAUGGACAAUACAAAGGGCAGCGAAACCGCGAGGUCAAGCAAAUCCCAUAAAGUUGUUCUCAGUUCGGAUUGUAGUCUGCAACUCGACUACAUGAAGCUGGAAUCGCUAGUAAUCGUAGAUCAGCAUGCUACGGUGAAUACGUUCCCGGGUCUUGUACACACCGCCCGUCACACCACGAGAGUUUGUAACACCCGAAGCCGGUGGAGUAACCUUUUAGGAGCUAGCCGUCGAAGGUGGGACAAAUGAUUGGGGUGAAGUCGUAACAAGGUAGCCGUAUCGGAAGGUGCGGCUG